UACAGAGGGUGCGAGCGUUAAUCGGAAUUACUGGGCGUAAAGGGCGCGUAGGCGGCCGCCUAAGUCAGACGUGAAAUCCCUCGGCUCAACCGGGGAACUGCGUCUGAUACUGGGUGGCUUGAAUCCGGGAGAGGGUAUGCGGAAUUCCGAGGUGUAGCGGUGAAAUGCGUAGAUAUCUGGAGGAACACCGGUGGCGAAGGCGGCGAGUCCUGGACCGGCAUUGACGCUGAGGCGCGAAAGCCAGGGGAGCAAACGG
rnacentral:rRNA from 1 species